rnacentral:rRNA from 1 species
AUUGAACGCUGGCGGCAGGCCUAACACAUGCAAGUCGAGCGGAUGACGGGAGCUUGCUCCUUAAUUCAGCGGCGGACGGGUGAGUAGUACCUAGGAAUCUGCCUGAUAGUGGGGGACGACGUUUCGAAAGGAACGCUAAUACCGCAUACGUCCUACGGGACAAAGCAGGGGACCUUCGGGCCUUGCGCUGGCAGAUGAGCCUAGGUCGGAUAAGCUAGUUGGUGAGGUAAUGGCUCACCAAGGCGACGAUCCGUAACUGGUCUGAGAGGAUGAUCAGUCACACUGGAACUGAGACACGGUCCAGACUCCUACGGGAGGCAGCAGUGGGGAAUAUUGGACAAUGGGCGAAAGCCUGAUCCAGCCAUGCCGCGUGUGUGAAGAAGGUCUUCGGAUUGUAAAGCACUUUAAGUUGGGAGGAAGGGCAGUAAGCUAAUACCUUGCUGUUUUGACGUUACCGACAGAAUAAGCACCGGCUAACUCUGUGCCAGCAGCCGCAGUAA